rnacentral:rRNA from 1 species
AGCUCCAAUAGCGUAUAUUAAAGUUGUUGCAGUUAAAAAGCUCGUAUUUGAAUUUUUGUUUUGCGGGGUUCGCUUCGAACGAAAUGUUCGUUGAAUAGUAACUUUGUCCGCAGGACUUUUUUGGGGUUUUUGUUUUUCUUAGGUUCUUAACUGAGCUUUUGGAGACGUCCCAUCGUUUACUGUGAAAAAAUUAGAGUGUUUAAAGCAGGCUUUUAUUGCUGUGAAUACAUUAGCAUGGAAUAAUAAGAUAGGACCUUGGUGCUAUUUUGUUGGUGUUGCACACCAGGGUAAUGAUUAACAGGGACAGUUGGGGGUAUUCGUAUUUAGAUGUCAGAGGUGAAAUUCUUGGAUUUUCGAAAGACGAACUACUGCGAAAGCAUUUACCAAGGAUGUUUUCAUUA